rnacentral:rRNA from 1 species
UACGAGGGGUGCAAGCGUUGCUCGGAAUUAUUGGGCGUAAAGGGUAGGUAGGUGGUCUCAUUUGUCGGGGGUGAAAGCCUUGGGCUUAACUCAAGAAGUGCCCCCGAAACGGUGAGACUCGAGUCUUGGAGAGGGUUGGCGGAAUUCCCGGUGUAGCGGUGAAAUGCGUAGAGAUCGGGAGGAACACCAGAGGCGAAGGCGGCAACCUGGACAAGUACUGACACUCAACACGAAAGCGUGGGGAGCAAACAGGAU